rnacentral:rRNA from 1 species
UACGGAGGGUGCGAGCGUUAUUCGGAAUUACUGGGCGUAAAGCGCGUGUAGGCGGCAGGGCAAGUCUGGUGUGAAAGCCCGGGGCUCAACCCCGGAAGUGCAUUGGAAACUGCUCUGCUUGAGUACCGGAGAGGAAGGGGGAAUUCCCGGUGUAGCGGUGAAAUGCGUAGAUAUCGGGAGGAAUACCAGUGGCGAAGGCGCCCUUCUGGACGGUUACUGACGCUGAGACGCGAAAGCUAGGGGAGCAAACCGG